ACCGGCAAACGGGUGCGGAACACGUACACAACCUUCCUUUAAGUGGGGGAUAGCCCAGGGAAACUUGGAUUAAUACCCCGUAAUAUAUAGAGACGGCAUCGUUUUUAUAUUAUAGCUCCGGCGCUUAAAGAUGGGUGUGCGGCUGAUUAGAUAGUUGGCGGGGUAACGGCCCACCAAGUCGACGAUCAGUAACUGGUGUGAGAGCACGACCAGUCACACGGGCACUGAGACACGGGCCCGACUCCUACGGGAGGCAGCAGUAAGGAAUAUUGGUCAAUGGACGCAAGUCUGAACCAGCCAUGCCGCGUGGAGGAUGAAGGUCCUCUGGAUUGUAAACUUCUUUUAUCUGGGAAGAAAUCCACUUUUUCUAGAGUGGUUGACGGUACCAGAUGAAUAAGCACCGGCUAACUCCGUGCCAGCAGCCGCGGUAAUACGGAGGGUGCAAGCGUUAUCCGGAUUCACUGGGUUUAAAGGGUGCGUAGGUGGGCAAGUAAGUCAGUGGUGAAAUCUCCGGGCUUAACCCGGAAACUGCCAUUGAUACUAUUUGUCUUGAAUACUGUGGAGGUCAGCGGAAUAUGUCAUGUAGCGGUGAAAUGCUUAGAUAUGACAUAGAACACCAAUUGCGAAGGCAGCUGGCUACACAAAUAUUGACACUGAGGCACGAAAGCGUGGGGAUCAAACAGGAUUAGAUACCCUGGUAGUCCACGCCCU
rnacentral:rRNA from 1 species